rnacentral:lncRNA from 1 species
AGGGCUUCCGGACGCAUAAAUCGCACCAGGCGCCGUCGUACGCCGGACCAACGAUGCAUCAUAACAGUAACUAGUUGCUAGAAAGGCGGCAGGAAUAGGAGCAUCCAUACGCGCACGCAAUUAGAACCCCGCCGUGAGAUGCGUCGGUGGCUGUGAGGCAGGUGGGGACAUGCCUGGGAGGCUGAAAGGGCUUCCGGACGCAUAAAUCGCACCAGGCGCCGUCGUACGCCGGACCAACGAUGCAUCAUAACAGUAACUAGUUGCUAGAAAGGCGGCAGGAAUAGGAGCAUCCAUACGCGCACGCAAUUAGAACCCCGCCGUGAGAUGCGUCGGUGGCUGUGAGGCAGGUGGGGACAUGCCUGGAGGCUGAAAGGGCUUCCGGACGCAUAAAUCGCACCAGGCGCCGUCGUACGCCGGACCAACGAUGCAUCAUAACAGUAACUAGUUGCUAGAAAGGCGGCAGGAAUAGGAGCAUCCAUACGCGCACGCAAUUAGAACCCCGCCGUGAGAUGCGUCGGUGGCUGUGAGGCAGGUGGGGACAUGCCUGGGAGGCUGAAAGGGCUUCCGGACGCAUAAAUCGCACCAGGCGCCGUCGUACGCCGGACCAACGAUGCAUCAUAACAGUAACUAGUUGCUAGAAAGGCGGCAGGAAUAGGAGCAUCCUUACGCGCACGCAAUUAGAACCCCGCCGUGAGAUGCGUCGGUGGCUGUGAGGCAGGUGGGGACAUGCCUGGGAGGCUGAAAGGGCUUCCGGACGCAUAAAUCGCACCAGGCGCCGUCGUACGCCGGACCAACGAUGCAUCAGAACAUCAACUAGUUGC